rnacentral:rRNA from 1 species
AUUAGGAAUCUUGCGCAAUGGGCGAAAGCCUGACGCAGCGACGCCGCGUGACUGAUGAAGUCUUUCGGGAUGUAAAGGUCUUUUGCAGGGGAAGAAGGAUGUGACGGUACCCUGGGAAUAAGCCCCGGCUAACUACGUGCCAGCAGCCGCGGUAAUACGUAGGGGGCGAGCGUUGUCCGAAUUUACUGGGCGUAAAGCGCGCGUAGGCGGGCUUUUAAGUCAGGGGUGAAAUGCCGAGGCUCAACCUCGGAACUGCCUUUGAAACUGGGAGCCUUGAGGUAUGGAGAGGGAAGUGGAAUUCCUGGUGUAGCGGUGAAAUGCGUAGAUAUCAGGAGGAACACCCGUGGCGAAGGCGGCUUUCUGGCCAUAUCCUGACGCUGAGGUGCGAAAGCUAGGGGAGCGAACGGGAUUAGAAACCCUAGUAGUCC